GCUAGAGCUGACCCUGAAGACACCCACAUGCUGUAGAUUUGGGUUUGUGUUCUGGAGGUGGGAUGGGUUUGUGUUGUGGAGGUAGGAUGGGUUUGUGUUCUGGAGGUGGGAUGGGUUUGUGUUGUGGAGGUAGGAUGGGUUUGUGUUGUGGAGGUAGGAUGGGUUUGUGUUGUGGAGGUAGGAUGGGUUUGUGUUGUGGAGGUGGGAUGGGUUUGUGUUGUGGAGGUGGGAUGGG